CGAACGCCCCGCAAGGGGAGUGGCAGACGGGUGAGUAACGCGUGGGAACAUACCCUUUCCUGCGGAAUAGCUCCGGGAAACUGGAAUUAAUACCGCAUACGCCCUACGGGGGAAAGAUUUAUCGGGGAAGGAUUGGCCCGCGUUGGAUUAGCUAGUUGGUGGGGUAAAGGCCUACCAAGGCGACGAUCCAUAGCUGGUCUGAGAGGAUGAUCAGCCACAUUGGGACUGAGACACGGCCCAAACUCCUACGGGAGGCAGCAGUGGGGAAUAUUGGACAAUGGGCGCAAGCCUGAUCCAGCCAUGCCGCGUGAGUGAUGAAGGCCUUAGGGUUGUAAAGCUCUUUCACCGGAGAAGAUAAUGACGGUAUCCGGAGAAGAAGCCCCGGCUAACUUCGUGCCAGCAGCCGCGGUAAUACGAAGGGGGCUAGCGUUGUUCGGAAUUACUGGGCGUAAAGCGCACGUAGGCGGAUAUUUAAGUCAGGGGUGAAAUCCCAGAGCUCAACUCUGGAACUGCCUUUGAUACUGGGUAUCUUGAGUAUGGAAGAGGUAAGUGGAAUUCCGAGUGUAGAGGUGAAAUUCGUAGAUAUUCGGAGGAACACCAGUGGCGAAGGCGGCUUACUGGUCCAUUACUGACGCUGAGGUG
rnacentral:rRNA from 1 species